UGAGGAAUAUUGGUCAAUGGGGGCAACCCUGAACCAGCCAAGUCGCGUGAAGGAUGAAGGUCCUAUGGAUUGUAAACUUCUUUUACACGGGAAUAAAGUGGGGGACGUGUCCCCCUUUGCAUGUACCGUGUGAAUAAGGAUCGGCUAACUCCGUGCCAGCAGCCGCGGUAAUACGGAGGAUCCGAGCGUUAUCCGGAUUUAUUGGGUUUAAAGGGUGCGCAGGCGGGAUGUUAAGUCGGCGGUGAAAUUUUGCAGCUCAACUGUAAAAGUGCCUUCGAUACUGGCCUCCUUGAGUGUGGAUGAAGUAGGCGGAAUUUGUGGUGUAGCGGUGAAAUGCUUAGAUAUCACGAGGAACUCCGAUUGCGCAGGCAGCUUACUAAGCCACAACUGACGCUCAUGCACGAAGGCGUGGGGAUCAAA
rnacentral:rRNA from 1 species